GGCAAGAUGGCCGAGCGGUCUAAGGCGCCACGUUAAGGUGUUUAAACCCUUAAUCAUCAAUCCGUGGUCCGAAAGGGCGUGAGUUCGAAUCUCACUCUUGUCA
rnacentral:tRNA from 2 species